GAUGAACGCUGGCGGCGUGCCUAAUACAUGCAAGUCGAGCGAACAGAUGAGGAGCUUGCUCCUCUGACGUUAGCGGCGGACGGGUGAGUAACACGUGGAUAACCUACCUAUAAGACUGGGAUAACUUCGGGAAACCGGAGCUAAUACCGGAUAAUAUAUUGAACCGCAUGGUUCAAUAGUGAAAGACGGUUUUGCUGUCACUUAUAGAUGGAUCCGCGCCGCAUUAGCUAGUUGGUAAGGUAACGGCUUACCAAGGCAACGAUGCGUAGCCGACCUGAGAGGGGGUUCGGCCAAACGGAACCUAGGACACGGCCCAGACUCUUACGGGAGGCAGAAGUAGGGAAUUUUCUGCAAUGGGCGAAAGCUGGACGGGGCAACGCGGCGUGAGGAAGAAAGGCUUUCGGAUCGUAAAACCUUGUAAUUGGGAAAAAACAAAGGUGUAAGUAACGUUGCACGUCUGGACGGAACCAAAGCAGAAACCCCCGGCUAAUUACGU
rnacentral:rRNA from 1 species